GGAAAGCAGGAGGAAAUUUGGUGCUCAUAGCAGUCAUCUGCUCCCACCCUUGCUGGCCCUGCACUGAGCCCCUGUAGCAGUCAGGGGGAGCUCUAGGCUCCUGCUGGGUGCUAGCCCAGGGACUGGCAGG